AACGAACGCUGGCGGCAGGCCUAACACAUGCAAGUCGAGCGAAGCCUUCGGGCUUAGCGGCGGACGGGUGAGUAACGCGUGGGAACGUGCCCUUUGGUACGGAAUAGCCCCGGGAAACUGGGAGUAAUACCGUAUGUGCCCUUCGGGGGAAAGAUUUAUCGCCAAAGGAUCGGCCCGCGUUGGAUUAGGUAGUUGGUGGGGUAAUGGCCUACCAAGCCGACGAUCCAUAGCUGGUUUGAGAGGAUGAUCAGCCACACUGGGACUGAGACACGGCCCAGACUCCUACGGGAGGCAGCAGUGGGGAAUCUUAGACAAUGGGGGAAACCCUGAUCUAGCCAUGCCGCGUGAUCGAUGAAGGCCUUAGGGUUGUAAAGAUCUUUCAGUGGGGAAGAUAAUGACUGUACCCACAGAAGAAGCCCCGGCUAACUCCGUGCCAGCCGCCGCGGUAACAC
rnacentral:rRNA from 1 species